rnacentral:rRNA from 1 species
UACGUAGGUGGCAAGCGUUGUCCGGAUUUACUGGGCGUAAAGAGCGCGCAGGCGGUCGUACAAGUCGCGUGUGAAAGCCCCCGGCUCAACUGGGGAGGGUCACGCGAUACUGUUCGACUCGAAGGCAGGAGAGGGAAGCAGAAUUCCCGGUGUAGUGGUGAAAUGCGUAGAUAUCGGGAGGAACACCAGUGGCGAAGGCGACUUCCUGGCCUGUUCUUGACGCUGAGGCGCGAAAGCUAGGGGAGCAAACGGG